UUUUUAUUUUUUUAUUUAUUUAGUAUUAACUCGUCCUUUUAACUUUUGAAUUCCUUUAUUACUUUGUUUUCUAUUUAAUUUCGAUUUCAUUAAAAUUUUUUUUAGGUUUCAUAAUGAAUUAAAUAUGAGCACAAAAGUCGUUUCCCUUUAGUAUUAAUAUAUGAAAAUAAUUUUUUUUUAUUUGGUAUGAACUCGAUAUUUUCACCUUUAAAUUCCUCCAUCCCUUUCUUAUUUUCGAUUAAUUUUAAUUUAUUUACUUAAUAAUUUUUUUUUUGUUGUUUCAUCAAUUUAUCUAAUUUUUUUUAUAUAUUUUUUUUAUUAUUUUUUUUUGUAUUUUUUUUUUAAUUAAUUUUUUAUUUGAUUUUUUAUUUGUUUUUUUAUUUGUUUUAUUUUUUUAUUAUAAUGCUUUACUUUUUUAUUACUUGUAAAGAUUCUGAAUUAUGAUACGCCUUUUUCAAAAAAAAAAAUAAAAAACAAUAUAAAAGUCCGCAACACAAAGUCUUUCUUUAAAUAUUCUUUAAAAGAACGUUAAAUUAAAUUUUCCAUUACUCUUUUUCCCGUAAUCUGUUUAAUUUGAGCGGUUCAUUCAAUACAUUGCGGUUGUUUCAUGAUCUAUUGUAUAUAUUUAAGUUAUUGAGCCGAGACCAUAAAGAACAUACUUGUUAUAACGGCAUUUAAGAGAUUAUAUCCAAUUGCAAGCAACAAAAAAAGCGUUUUUGUAAAUUUUUUUCAUUAAAUAAUUUUGGAAAAUUUUAUAGUGCCUACGGGUUCGAUCUUUAGGAGGGUCUUGGAAAAAACGUGUUUGGCGAUGAGGAAUUAUUAUCUGAAAUCCAAAAACCUCAAAAUCUUAUUAUUACUAUAGAUGAAUACUGGCAAUGAUCUAAGGACUAGUAAAAAUUUGAAUUUUUAAUUUGCCAAAAUGGCGACCUAAAAGAAAACUAUUUUUUUGUGAAAAAAUGUAUACUUCAAAGUGACUGAAAAAAUCGGCAUUAUUAUCAAAAAUGUUUAUACCCUCGAUUAUUAGCUGACAUAUAAUAUACCUAUAUCUAAAGAGCUCGUGUGUCAAUCGGUCCAGCUGUUACGGAGUAAUUGCUCUUACCGACUCUGAAAAUAGCGUUUCGAGAAAAAACGCUUUUAAAGUUUUGGUAGCCGAUUACACUAAGAAGAUGCUCAUUUGUCAGAAUCGAUGAUAUCGGACCAUGCGGCCAUAUGACUGCUUUGUAAACUAAACGUGUGAAAUCUAGUGCUGGUAUGGAAAGCUUAUUCAUUUGACGAGAUAACUUCAAGAAAUUUGCCAUGGGUUAUUGUUUAGGGCAAUAAGGCAAUCUCCGCAGAAAUUGUUCAGAUCAGACAACAAUAACAUAUAGCUAUCAUACAAACUGACCGAUCAAACUCAAGUCCUUAUGGGGAAAACUUUUUUAUUUGACAAGGUAUCGUCCCGAAAUUUGGCACAUAUUAUUAAAUCUAAGAAUAUUGCUUAGAUCGGACUACAAUAGCAUAUAUUACACAUAGCUGCCAUGUAAAUUGACCAAGCAAAAUCCAGAGACUCGGUGCAACGCAGUUUACGUUGUUGCUUGCUUCUCUUUUUACAAAUUUUAAUUUUUGUAUAAAAUUUUUUAAACUAAUUUGAUUUUUUAUUUUUACUUUUUAAGUGUUUUAUUUUCUUUAAUAUUUUACACAAAUGUUUUUUUUUUUUACUUUUUAUAGUUUAUUAUAUCUGUUCCCACAAUCCCCCCAAUCUUGAUUCCUCGAUUCCUUCACGCCUUAAAGGUACCUGUUUUGCAGCAAUAUUAAAAUUACCAUUAAACUUAUAAUAAACCAAGCUAUAAAGCUUACAAAUACACAAAAGAGUAAAAGUAAAGAAGCUAAUAUUAUUAAAGUUGAAUGUAUAAAAAACAGUUGGCUGGAGACAAGCGAAUGUCAAGCAAUUUGAAGACGCCACUCGGCAUGUCGGCACAGACGUACCUAAAGAAAUGUGUAGCAAACAACAACAACAACUAACAAACAAUGGGUUUUCAAAAACGAAUUAUUAAAAUAAUAUACAUACAUAUAUAUAAAUCUGUACUAUAUAUUGCAUAUGAAAAAACCUAAAAAUUCACAGAGCAACCAUGCAACCACUCACUCGCAAAUCGUUGCUGCAAAUCAAACACACACACAUUACCGAUCUUCAAGCACAAGCUCAUAAACAGUGUUAAAGCGAUGUCCAGUCAACUGUCAAAGUCGUGUAGCCGAGUUGCUCGCUCAUUUCCAUGUGACAGCAGAGUUGGUCAGCUCUUUAACACUGCUUAUAAUUUAAUCUCACGCAACUGCUUGCCAUAAACCUCAGAGAAAUGGAGUUAAAAAAAACUUUUUUUGCGCAUAUUUUCACUGCCAGUAGUAAAACAAAAAAUAUAUUAUAGCAAAUUAUUACGAUAAAACAGCAGGAAAAUUCACACUUACGCUCAGCUUCAAUAAAUACAAAUACAAAUAUGUAUAUGGAAAAAAUACUCAAAAUAUCUACCACUAUACUGCUAUAUAUAUAUUAUAUUAUAUUUUGUAGUUGAUUUGCAAACAAGUGCAAUAAAAAGAUUUAACAUUUAUGCAAAAAUACAUUUGAAAAAUUGUUGAAAUUUUAAGCGAAAUUUCUCAAGUUCACUUAUACACACAACAAUCUACAUAUAUAAGUGUACUAUACUUGUAUAUGCAUAUAUUACUUAGUGGACGCAGUCAAAAAUCAAUUCAAAAAUUAAAUUACGUUACAAAAAGCAUACAAUAAACUCAAACGCCAAGCUCUUACAUAAUUAUAAUAAUUAUUACAAAAAAAUAAUAUGUUGAAGCAACAACAAAAACGCAAUACAUACAUAGCAGCAACUACAGUGAAACCUUAAAUUCUACGCACAUUUGUGAAAACAGUAUAAAACUGAAAUAUGCAUUUCAAUUGUAAACAAAACAAAGAAGAAAAACUGGAAAAAAAAUAUUACAACCAAAAUAAUAGCAACAAUUAAGCAUAUAAAUUUGACAUAUGUUGCAGUAAAUACGUAAUUUUAAAUUUUUCAAAUUUAUAAAACGAUAGCAAAAAAACAAUAUAUAGAUAAAUAUGUAAUACAUAUUAACGAAUAAGUUUCAAAAAUACUUGCGAAAAUGCUUGCAUGCAAAGCAGACAAAAAAAAAUACAUUAAAAUGCAUACUUGCGUGCAGCAGUGCAAACACACAACAAUCGAUAAUGAACUACGACCAUAAAAUUUAAUAUUACAAAAACAAAAACAAAUGCCGUAAAAGUGUUGUACUAUUAAAUGCAUUUUACAAUUUAGCAUUGAGUAUGUGAAGUAAAUUAUUUCGAUGCAAAAACCAACAAAAAGAAAAAACAAAAUCAAGAAAUUACGAAAAAUGCUACACUGCCACAAACCAAUUUAUGUAAUUUGUGUUUUAACGUAGACUGUUUCUUUGGUUUAAACAUUUUGUAGUGUGAAAAGUGGCGAUUCAUGUGAAGGCGCUUGAGCGCUUCAAAACAUUAUUACACUGUUUUUAAUGAAAGCAAAAUUUCGCUAUUCUUAUACAUAAUUAUGCCAAACGGUUGUAGACAUCUUCACAACAAAUAUUAGACAAGAAAGUUCUUUGCAUUAAAUAGCCAUUUAACGAUUUAUGUCAAACGUUUUUGCGAUUUCUUAGCAAGUGGCGUAAUUUGUCUACUGUAAGUGAAGCUAACAGCUGUUAAAUACAAAGAAAACGAAAUACAUAAAAAACUCAAAAUUUUUCAUUAAAACAUCCAAAGCUGUCGUAACGAAUUCUUCCAUUUUAGACAUUUUCAUAAUUCCUUAAGAAAAAUCGCAGAAAAUAUUUCAAGCACCAACAUCAGUUUUUAAAUUCAUUUUAAUUCAUUUUUAAAUGCGUUUUUUUCUCAAAAUUGUAUUUUUCAAAUUUGCUUCAGUGAUUAUGUAUCUAUGACUUGUAGUGUUUCUUUACCUUGCUUUAAUUCUUUGUACUAAACAGCGGCCAAUCCAGAAUUUAUUUCUUGAGUUUACCUUACAAGGUAUUUUUAAUAUUUAUAUUACAACGUAAAUUCUUUGGAAUUUGAAUUAAAAUCUUCGUUUUUGGGAUCCAACACUUGGACUAAAAAACAGGUGACAAGCUUUUACGCACCAUCCGGCCACCUCUAACCAAAAAAAUUAUUCAAAUCGCCCAAACAAUUAUUUUUCAAAUAUGACAACUUGAAGCUUUAGACGCUAAAGCCAAAAAAACAGGGUUGCCACAAAAAAGAGCACAACUUGCGAACUCCCAAAAUGUAAUUUAAAAUAUUUUUCUGCAUACUGUCGGCAAAAUUUUUUAUUAUUGAACUAAAAUUAAUUUCAGUAAAAACAAAUUUUUUUUUUCUAAAGCUUAAAGUAAUUCUUUUCAUGCAAAAAAUAAUUUUUUUUUAACUUUCUUUUCUUCUGAAGCUUAAAAUAUCUAUUUUCAUGCCAGAAAAAAUUUUUUUUCUUAUUUUUCCAAAGCUUAAAGUAAUUCUUUUCAUGCAAAUAAAAAUAAAUUAAUUUUUCGAAAGCUUAAAGUAAUUAUUUUCAUGCGAUUUAACCGUACAUUUAAAAAAAAUGAAAUGAAGAUUUGCAUUAUAUGCACAGAAAACAAGCAGAAUCGGCAAUAAACUGCGCAAAAUCACACAAUACAUACAAAAUCAUAUAUUCAGAACGCAACACCUGUACUGAAUUAAUUUUGAAUUUUUAUCUGCAAUAAUUAUGGCUAUAACGGUAAAAGACAGUCUAUAAUUCGUUAUGCUGAGUGGAAAUAGUGCUGCGACAGGUAAUAUUAAUGAAUAUAGAAAUAGAAUAGUUUGCGUGUACGUUUACAAUUGGCAGGUACUGUACAUAGCCAACAAGAGCUUCUCGUACAAAAGUAAGAAAUGUACAAAUGAAAUGCAGAACGUAAGAAACGACUUACCUACAUACUUGAAAUAUGGAAAAAAUUAAUGAAAGGUGCAUAGAAAGUUAAUAUAUAGUAAGUCAUGCAUAUAUAUAAUCUACACAAAAGUUGAAAUGUGUGUACCAUUUUGUUGUUUGUAAUCGAAAGGUGCGCAGAAGAAGUAAUGAGUAUAAAUACUAUUUGAGAUAUGUAAAAGAGAGAGAGAGGCUGGAGUUUUGUAGCGGAGACAAAUAGUAUAUGACAAUUGAUGUUUGUAUGGAGACUUUUAUUAACGACUGUUAAAAGAUAAGUGUUUGCAUAGAGCUAAGGAAAACUGCGAAAAAUUUGAAAAGUAAAGUUGAAAACUUUUUUUUUUCAAAUUACAGCAAUUAUGCAUUAAAAAAAUAAAAAAUAAAGUCAAAAAAAAAAUUAAAUAAAAAAUCAGCUAAAAUUUUCCUUAGCCACUAAGUUUUGUAAAAUUAAAAAAAAUUGCAUGUCUGAUAAUAUGUAUGUAUGUGAACGGGUCUUAAAGCAUUUUAUACUGCAGCGCAUAAAACAGGCGAUCAUUUGCAAAAAAAUAUGUAAAAUACAAGAUUUAUGAGUAUUUCGAACACACAGCAUACAUACUUACAUACACGCGUAGCAUAAGUUUAAAGCAUAGUAAAAUAAAAGAUUGACUAAUCAUAACAACAACAAAAACAAAAACA